AGCUUUGCACAGUAGCAGUAUCAUAGCCAGUGAGGUUUAUCCAAGGCUCGAUUAUUGCUAAUUGAAAACUUUUCCCCAUACCUGGCCUUGAUAACUUGCCAUAUAGGUGGCAGUGGCAAGUUUUGAUGGUCUCUACAAGA
ensembl:snRNA U4 U4 spliceosomal RNA